rnacentral:rRNA from 1 species
CACGUAGGGUGCGAGCGUUGUCCGGAAUUAUUGGGCGUAAAGAGCUCGUAGGCGGUGUGUCGCGUCGGCCGUGAAAACCUGCAGCUUAACUGUGGGCUUGCGGUCGAUACGGGCAUCACUGGAGUUCGGCAGGGGAGACUGGAAUUCCUGGUGUAGCGGUGAAAUGCGCAGAUAUCAGGAGGAACACCGGUGGCGGAAGGCGGGUCUCUGGGC